rnacentral:rRNA from 1 species
GGAAUUGACGGGGGCCCGCACAAGCGGAGGAACAUGUGGUUUAAUUCGAUGAUACGCGAGGAACCUUACCCGGGCUCAAACGCAGGAUGACGGGUCCCGAAAGGGGUCUUUCUUCGGACAUUCUGCGAGGUGCUGCAUGGUUGUCGUCAGCUCGUGCCGUGAGGUGUCGGCUUAAGUGCCAUAACGAGCGCAACCCCUGUCCACAGUUGCCAGCAGGUAAAGCUGGGGACUCUGUGGAGACUGCCGGCGCAAGCUGCGAGGAAGGCGGGGAUGACGUCAAAUCAGCACGGCCCUUACGUCCGGGGCGACACACGUGUUACAAUGGCAGGUACAGCGGGAUGCCACGGGGCGACCCGGCGCGGAACCCGAAAACCUGUCUCAGUUCGGAUUGGAGUCUGCAACCCGACUCCAUGAAGCUGGAUUCGCUAGUAAUCGCGCAUCAGCCACGGCGCGGUGAAUACGUUCCCGGGCCUUGUACACACCGCCCGUCAAGCCAUGGAAGCCGGGGGUACCUGAAGUGCGUGACCGCGAGGAGCGCCCUAGGGUAAAACCGGUGACUGGGGCUAAGUCGUAACAAGGUAGCCGU